rnacentral:lncRNA from 10 species
AGCCCGCCUGCACCCAGGUGAUUAAAAGCUUUGUUGCUCACACAAAGCCUGUUUGGUGGUCUCUUCAAACGGAUGCACAUGGAAUUUGAUGCUAUGACUCGGAUCAGGGGACCUCCCUUGGGAGAUCAAUCUCCUGUCCUCCUGCUCUUUGCUCCAUGAGAAAGAUCCACCUACGACCUCAGAUCCUCAGACCCACCAGCGCAACAUCUCACCAAUUUCAAAUCCGGAACCUACAGUCUCAUUGAAAAUACACACUAUUCAGAUCAGUACUAAGAGGACAUCUCCUUAUACAUAUGCAAAUAUUUCAAAGUGUUAAAAAAUCUGCAAUCUGCAACACAUCUGGUCCCAAGCAUUUUGGAUAAAGAAUCCUCAACCUGUAUUAAUGAAUGUUUCCAUUUGUCAUGUGCUCCUCCAAGACAUUUACACCUAUUAUUUAAAUAUGUUUUUAAACUUGGAAUAUACAAAAAUGUUUAUUUACAACAAAUAUGUUGGAUAUACAUUUUGUAAAAUGCUUUAAAAUAUUACCAGUGCUUUCGAAACACAGCUUAACUCUCUCUGAUCAUGUAAACUUUCAGCCAAUUUUGUAGAUAAUCAUUAUUGCAGUGUUGCUGUGCUUUAUAAUAGAUUUAUGUAUAUAUGUUUAAAUUACUCAUAAUAGGAUUCAUGAAGUCAUUCCCUGUGAUCUACUUUGUUCAUUCAACAUUCUAUUUGUGAAACUCAUCAAUGCUACUUCUUGUAGUUAUGCUUAUAAAUUCCAUUUUUAGUGCAUAUGCAGGUUGCAUUUUAUUAUUACAAAUAAAAUUGCUAUGAUCAUUAUUGCCAAUA